GACGGCAGCUUUUACCAAUGAACGCUUGGUACAUUGGGGACCGACAGCAUUUUCAACCAAUCAUUGGGAAGCAUCUAGAGUGACGUUGGUCUGGCCAAUAGAACUGUGAAGUGUCAUUGAUAGACGGUAGGAGUCGCCAACCGGAAAUCAACGGGGGAAUGAACGACGUAUCCUUUAGCCAACUGGCGGGAGGCAAAGUCCCGCCUGCUAGGAGGUUGAUGGACAGCAACAGGAAGCUGGGUGAGGAGGGGCUUAGCCGAGAAGUGUUUUUGUAUUGGUCGUAAUUGACCUUCCACCCACCUCUAACCCAGCAGAUAAGUGAUAGAUCUGCCCUAAAGCCAAUCAGAAGUGCUACUGUGAAAUGCCCCGUAAAGAGCUUAUACAUCUCUCAAUACAGUCUGGCAUGGGCUAGGGAAUCAAGGCCAGGACCUCCCACAUCGGAGGCAGUCUCUACCACUGAGCCCCAUUCUCCCUCAUGGCUGCCCUAAGGGACUGAGCUACAGUGGAAGAACUGGGCCUUCUAUCCGAGAUGAUCAGGAAAUGGAUUCGGAGUUCAAGAAUGACUUUGCAUACUCCUACAUCUGCAUAAGACUUGUUUAGCCCAUACAUUCUGUUCCCAGGGCCAGUUUCCAGUUUGGCUUGCUUUGCUGUGUAGCCAAGGGCUCCGCCCGGAUUCAGUGACUCAGGUCUCCAUUUCCAAGAGACUAGGCAGCAGGUUCCACUAUGCCUGA
rnacentral:lncRNA from 1 species